UGGGGAAUAUUGCAUAAUGGGCGCAAGCCUGAUGCAGCCAUGCCGCGUGUAUGAAGAAGGCCUUCGGGUUGUAAAGUACUUUCAGCGGGGAGGAAGGUGUUGAGGCUAAUAACCUCAGCAAUUGACGUUACCCGCAGAAGAAGCACCGGCUAACUCCGUGCCAGCAGCCGCGGUAAUACGGAGGGUGCAAGCGUUAAUCGGAAUUACUGGGCGUAAAGCGCACGCAGGCGGUUUGUCAAGUCGGAUGUGAAAUCCCCGGGCUCAACCUGGGAACUGCAUUCGAAACUGGCAGGCUAGAGUCUUGUAGAGGGGGGUAGAAUUCCAGGUGUAGCGGUGAAAUGCGUAGAGAUCUGGAGGAAUACCGGUGGCGAAGGCGGCCCCCUGGACAAAGACUGACGCUCAGGUGCGAAAGCGUGGGGAGCAAACA
rnacentral:rRNA from 1 species